rnacentral:sRNA from 1 species
AAAUAAUAAAUUAAAGAUUUAACCCGUAUUGAAACGGUGGAUUAAUUAUAUUUUACUUUUUUAUUAAUGUUGAUUCAAAAACCCGUCCCUCCAAAUCCGUCUUGCCAGAAAGCUAUUUAUUUUGUUAAUAUUAAUUUUAUUAAUGAUAUGACUCUGAAUUAGAAUCUAAACAUUUUAGCUAAUAACAUAGGAGUGCACCAUAUUUAUUUAAUAGGAGAAUGUAUCAUAUAACCCGAAUGCACUUUUAUCCAAAUCCACCAAAAAUGUCUUGCAAAAAUACUAUAGAGAUAAGAAACGAUAGUCGAUUUUGAAAGGUAUAAGAUUAGUUAAAGAAUACAAAUUGAAAAGGUAUAUUACACUUUAUUCGAAUAUAGUAUCAAAACUUAUAUAACACAGAGAUUUGAUAAUUUUUUAAUUGAUGAAUACUUUUUUGUGCUAAUUUUUAUGUGAUUAAGAUUUAAUUGAUUUCGUAUAUAAAAUAUUAAAUUGACUUAUUUGUUUAUAAUUUGGUAACAAAUAGAUAUUUGAAUAUUCAAUAUAUUUUGCUUCAGUUUAAGAAAUUUUUGAUGAUCCGUCUUUAGAUCCAAUAAGCCCUAUAAUCUAGAUAUUAACCUGCGGUAUAUAUUUUAGUUAAACUAAAAUUUUUUAUUGUAAAGAUGAUUUAAAAAUAUUUGAUAUUAUUUUAUUUGAUUUUAAAUGUAUAGUAAACUGUGAAUUUUAUAUGUUUUGUUGAUAUUAUCUAUAUUGUUUAGUGUUUAAGAUUAUACACUUGUAGUUUGAUUGUUAAUUUAAGAGUUUCACCUGUAGUAUACCAUCUUGUAUUAAUAUCGAUCUAAACAUAGCAUAUAUAUACUAACAAAUAAAACUACACAAUUAAUUGAAAAUAUAU